UGGGCAAUCUGCCCUUCACUUCGGGAUAACUCCGGGAAACCGGUGCUAAUACCGAAUACGACCACUUCAGGCAUCUGAUGGUGGUGGAAAGUUCCGGCGGUGGAGGAUGAGCUCGCGGCCUAUCAGCUUGUUGGUGAGGUAACGGCCCACCGAGGCAACGACGGGUAGCCGGCCUGAGAGGGUGACCGGCCACACUGGGACUGAGACACGGCCCAGACUCCGUACGGGAG
rnacentral:rRNA from 1 species